rnacentral:rRNA from 1 species
UACAGAGGUGGCAAGCGUUGUUCGGAAUUACUGGGCGUAAAGGGCGCGUAGGCGGUCCCGUCAGUCCCUUGUGAAAUCCCCCGGCUCAACUGGGGAACUGCAAGGGAUACAGCGGGGCUUGAGUUCGGGAGAGGGAUGCGGAAUUCCAGGUGUAGCGGUGAAAUGCGUAGAUAUCUGGAGGAACACCGGUGGCGAAGGCGGCAUCCUGGACCGAGAUUGACGCUGAGGCGCGAAAGCCAGGGGAGCAAACGGGG